rnacentral:rRNA from 1 species
CGAUGAAGCCCAGCUUGCUGGGUGGAUUAGUGGCGAACGGGUGAGUAACACGUGAGUAACCUGCCCUUAACUCUGGGAUAAGCCUGGGAAACUGGGUCUAAUACCGGAUAGGAGCGUCCACCGCAUGGUGGGUGUUGGAAAGAUUUAUCGGUUUUGGAUGGACUCGCGGCCUAUCAGCUUGUUGGUGAGGUAAUGGCUCACCAAGGCGACGACGGGUAGCCGGCCUGAGAGGGUGACCGGCCACACUGGGACUGAGACACGGCCCAGACUCCUACGGGAGGCAGCAGUGGGGAAUAUUGCACAAUGGGCGAAAGCCUGAUGCAGCGACGCCGCGUGAGGGAUGACGGCCUUCGGGUUGUAAACCUCUUUCAGUAGGGAAGAAGCGAAAGUGACGGUACCUGCAGAAGAAGCACCGGCUAACUACGUGCCAGCAGCCGCGGUAAUACGUAGGGUGCGAGCGUUAUCCGGAAUUAUUGGGCGUAAAGAGCUCGUAGGCGGUUUGUCGCGUCUGUCGUGAAAGUCCGGGGCUUAACCCCGGAUCUGCGGUGGGUACGGGCAGACUAGAGUGCAGUAGGGGAGACUGGAAUUCCUGGUGUAGCGGUGGAAUGCGCAGAUAUCAGGAGGAACACCGAUGGCGAAGGCAGGUCUCUGGGCUGUAACUGACGCUGAGGAGCGAAAGCAUGGGGAGCGAACAGGAUUAGAUACCCUGGUAGUCCAUGCCGUAAACGUUGGGCACUAGGUGUGGGGACCAUUCCACGGUUUCCGCGCCGCAGCUAACGCAUUAAGUGCCCCGCCUGGGGAGUACGGCCGCAAGGCUAAAACUCAAAGGAAUUGACGGGGGCCCGCACAAGCGGCGGAGCAUGCGGAUUAAUUCGAUGCAACGCGAAGAACCUUACCAAGGCUUGACAUGUUCUCGAUCGCCGUAGAGAUACGGUUUCCCCUUUGGGGCGGGUUCACAGGUGGUGCAUGGUUGUCGUCAGCUCGUGUCGUGAGAUGUUGGGUUAAGUCCCGCAACGAGCGCAACCCUCGUUCCAUGUUGCCAGCACGUCGUNGGUGGGGACUCAUGGGAGACUGCCGGGGUCAACUCGGAGGAAGGUGAGGACGACGUCAAAUCAUCAUGCCCCUUAUGUCUUGGGCUUCACGCAUGCUACAAUGGCCGGUACAAUGGGUUGCGAUACUGUGAGGUGGAGCUAAUCCCAAAAAGCCGGUCUCAGUUCGGAUUGGGGUCUGCAACUCGACCCCAUGAAGUCGGAGUCGCUAGUAAUCGCAGAUCAGCAACGCUGCGGUGAAUACGUUCCCGGGCCUUGUACACACCGCCCGUCAAGUCACGAAAGUUGGUAACACCCGAAGCCGGUGGCCUAACC